CAAGCCAAGCUAUCUUGUUCAACUAUUUGUAACUCUGUCAGUUGUGUUUCCUUCUUCCGUGUAUGUGUUGUUCUCCCUGUUCAAGCAAAAGCAAGAGAAAGUAAGAGAAGAAACCAAAAGGAAAGAAAGAAGGAAGAAGAUAAUAUAAUAUAUUAUAUAUUACAUGGGUUUUCUUUGCUGCAGUGGGAAACCGAGCAAGCGAUUAGAGAGCAGCAGCAUCAAUGAAAAUAACAGUAACAUUAAGCGCAAGGAUCAAACACAUGUCACUUCGGGGUCAUUGAAAAUGAAGCCAUAUGUGAACAAUUUAAGUAAGGAGGGGGAAUCUAAGGAUGAUCAAUUGUCAUUGGAUGUAAAGAGUUUAAAUAUGAAGGAUGAGAUUUCUAAGGAUAGAAGAAGCAAUGGAAAACAGGCUCAAACUUUUACUUUUGAGGAACUUGCGGCCGCAACGAGCAAUUUUAGGUCUGAUUGUUUUUUGGGUGAAGGAGGUUUUGGUAAGGUUUACAAAGGGUACCUGGACAAAAUCAACCAGGCUGUUGCUAUCAAGCAACUUGAUCGAAAUGGAGUUCAGGGGAUUAGGGAGUUUGUAGUUGAAGUAGUGACUUUAAGUCUAGCAGACCAUCCAAAUCUUGUCAAGUUGAUUGGGUUUUGUGCUGAGGGAGAUCAGAGGCUAUUGGUUUAUGAGUACAUGCCAUUAGGAUCUCUGGAAAAUCAUUUACAUGAUAUUCCACCCAAUAGGCAACCGCUUGAUUGGAACACAAGAAUGAAAAUAGCUGCUGGUGCAGCAAAAGGUUUAGAGUAUUUGCACAAUGAAAUGAAACCUCCUGUUAUAUACCGCGACUUAAAAUGCUCCAACAUUUUGCUUGGCGAGGGCUAUCAUCCUAAGCUAUCUGAUUUUGGUCUGGCAAAAGUGGGACCCAGCGGAGAUAAGACUCAUGUUUCUACAAGGGUUAUGGGCACCUACGGAUACUGUGCACCAGAUUAUGCAAUGACAGGUCAGCUGACGUUUAAAUCAGAUAUUUAUAGCUUCGGGGUUGUCCUUUUGGAGCUCAUCACAGGCAGGAAAGCAAUUGAUCAAAGAAAAGAACGUGGUGAGCAGAAUCUAGUUGCAUGGGCACGACCCAUGUUCAAAGACCGGAGGAACUUCUCAUGCAUGGUUGACCCUUUGCUUCAAGGUCAAUAUCCAAUAAGAGGAUUAUACCAAGCCCUCGCCAUUGCCGCAAUGUGUGUGCAGGAGCAGCCCAAUAUGCGCCCUGCUGUAUCCGAUUUGGUUAUGGCUCUGAACUAUCUGGCAUCUCACAAAUAUGAUCCCCAAGUCCAUUCUGUCCAAGACUCUCGGAGGAGCCCAUCUCGUCCUGGAUUAGAUAAGGACAGAGGACAAUGAUGUAGCACAAAUUGCAUAGGGUGGGCUCACGAGACAAAUUGCGUAGGGUGGGCUCACGAGUGACUAAUAUGGAGGAUGGAAAAUUAGGAAUUGAGUGCCCAACACCUUUUUGCAGUGUUAAUAUACCUAGUGCCGGGUAUCAAUUUUUGUGACCUGGGAGAUAUCUGGCUAUAGUUCCAUCCUCAUCCUCUCAGAGAAAUUCCUGCCCUUUCGUUUUUCCAGGGGUUCAUGACAGCUUGGCUUUUGGAUCAUUCUCCGGGAAAUUAAGGCAUUGGGAUGGUAUGAUCCGAGAAAGAAAAUAAUAAAUAUUACUUUGGUCGCUGGAAUUCACUGAUCUCACCAUCUCUGCAAUUGCCAACCCACAAGUACAUCGUUGAGGCCUUAUUUGUUGGCAGAACUCUGCAACAGUCCCUUCUCGGUGACUGCAAAACAAGCUGCAUUCAGUCAGUAAAUGCAUCAACCUUACAAGAUUUUGACUGCAAGCUGCUGGCUGCCUGGGUGCUAUUACUAUUGUGUCUGACUUUCACUAAAUUUCUAAGCAGAGUAUAUAAUGAUCAUUUAGGUGAGUUUAUUAUUAAUUAGUUCCUUUGGAGUUUGGACUGAGACACUACGUGACCAAUUGUUUGAAAGAUGGCGCGAGAAAAACGCAUCAUAAUUAGCACUCAUGGAGUAACAUUAAAGAAAAUCAUAUUCUUUCAAAGAAA